UGGUCUCUACCAGAUCGUAAGUUACAGGUGAGCAACCUGUUUAUCUGGAUCAAGAUCCGUUGAGAUCCAUAAGAAUGGGUGUUUAACUAGCUCUCCCAAGGAGGAGGGUGCAGUAGUAGCUAUGAUAACACCAGCUUCAAAAUGCUUCUCUCGAAGCUUGCCCUGGCAGCAGAGCGCACAUCUAUGGCUUGGCGAGAGGUAACUCAGUGGACCAAGCUGCUAAUUUACAGAUGUCCAUGAAGGUUACCCCCAAUAGGUGUGCAGCUAGAGUGGCAUAGGCAAGAGUAGAGUGGGCCUUAAUUGCUUCAGGUGGUUGAACAUUCUGUGUCUUGUAUGCCAGUAGGAUGAGCUCAACUAGCCAUCUGGACAUUCCUCAUCUGGAAAUACAGGAGCCUCUCGCAGAGCCCUUGAAUGCUUACAGACAGACACCUGGUGGAUCUAAAGCCCUUGGUGUGAUCCAGUUAAUAUAAAAGUUCUCCACACAUCCAGAGCGCAUUGCAUAUUCUAGAGGGAUAGAUUGAUCCCUGAAGAACGUAGGGAGAAUAAUGUCCUGGUUGAGGUGGAUGCUGGACACCACCUUGGGUAGAAAGUCCGGGUCCAUAUACAUAAGCACUUUAUCCAAAUAAAUUCUAGUGUAUGGCAAAUCUAUCUGCGAAGCUGUCAAUUCGCUUACACAUUUAGCCAUAGUUAUAGCCAGUAACAAGUCACUUUUCAAAGUUACUAGUUUGAUGGAGGCAGAACCCAUAGGUUCAAAUGGAUCCUAUGUCAAAGUUGAAAGGACCUAGGAUAUGCUCCAUGGUUUGAUGGUUGUGCGGACAGGUAGAUACAAAUUCAUAAGGCCUUUUAGAAAGGCUUUACUCUCUGGGUGUGAAAAGAGUCUCUCCAUCAUAGCCUGGAUGUCUUGAAGAUAGCACUACUAGAUGCACCUUCAAAUAUACAUUUGCCAGCCCUUGUGAUUUUAAAUCAGUCAAGUAAAGGAAUACAUCCGUGAUUGUGACCAGGGUAGGGCGAAAACCAUGCAUAGGAUUUGAAUCAGAGCCAUUUGCUUUUAUAAUUAUACCUGGUAGAUAGCUUCCUCUGGUUCAGAAGGAUCCUAUCCAAAACUUGAUUGGCCAUGCUAUUAGGCAGAGUGUACGAAUGUCUGGGUGCAGUAUGCUGCUGUUGUCCCGUGUUAAUAGAUCUAGCUCCUGCGGUAGCCUCUGGUAGUGAUUCUCAUACAGUUUGAAUACCUGUGGAAACCAUGGUUGUCUUGGCCACCCUGGAAGCACUAGGAUACCCGUUGUUGGAGCAGUUAGAAAGCAGGCAACCACUCAGCUAAUCAGUGGUUGUGGAGGAAACCUAUAGGGGAUCUCCUGCUGCCAAUGCAGCUGGAAGGUGUCUCCAAGUGAUCAUGGGCAGUGCCCUGCCCUGGAGCAGAAACAAGUGCAUUUUGUGUUCUCCGAGGUGGCAAAGAGAUCUAUGGUUGGUCAUAUCCAACUCGUGAAGAGAGGUGUAAUGUACUCUGUCUUGAUUUUCCAUUCGUGUUGUUGCUGUGGGAAAACUUGACUCAAGUUGUCCGCCAGGAUGUUGUCUAGGCCCUUUAUGUGUAUGGCCAUCGGGUAGACUUGAUGCCAGAUGUACGAACACCAUAACUGCAGGCUGAGUCCAAAAAGACUUCAAGGUGGUUGAUGUAGGCCAGGGCAGUGGUGCUGUUCAACUGCACCUGUACAACUUUUUCCUGUAAAAGUGGUAGGAAGGCUUCCAUUGCUUUGAAGACAGCCAAACAUUCCAGGAAAAUGAUAUGUAAUUGUUUUUGUUGCAAGGUCCACUUGCCUUGUAUCUGAUGUGAUCUGCAGUGGGCACCCCAGCCUAGCAGACAGGCGUCUGUUAGCCAAAUCGAAGGAGACAUUUGAAAAAGGAACCCCUUCCAGCAGAUUUCUGCCCAUCGACCACCAGGUAAGCAAGCAUAGAAUUUGAUCCGGGAUCACUAGACAUAGGUCCUGAUGAUCCACAUUCAGGCGGAAGACCAACAGAAACCAAAGUUGCAACUUGCCCAUCUUUAACCAGGCAUAUCGCACCACUGUGCUGCAGGAUACCUUAAGACCUAGGAGUCUUUGAAUGAGUCAGGCUGGUUGAGAUGGAAGUUGCUGGAAAUAGAGAACCAGGUUGCUGAUGCACUGGAAGCGUUCCCAAGGUAAGUAUGUCCUCCUGGUUUCUGUGUAUAGAACCACUCCAAUGUAGCUGAUUACAUGAACUGGUUCCAGCUUGGAUUUUUUCCAACUGACUUGGAUCCCCAAGUCUUGGAGGCGAGAUAAUACGUAUUUUGUCUGAGAAAGUCACUCUUUGUUUUUGGAAGUCAGGAGCCAGUCGUCCAGGAGCCAGUCGUCCAAGUAAGGAUAGAACGAUAUGUCCUGGGUCCACAGAUAAACUCAGAAAGAAGAAUUUAACUGACAAGGAACGACAGCCCAAGGACUGAACGCAUCAACGGUCAGAAGAGAACUGAAGAACAGAUGCCUGACCCUGCCUUUAAAUAGCACACUGAAGGCAUGUGGGUGGGGCUUGGUUGCUUCGACAAACUGCGGCAUUUAUUUUAUAAAUGAUGUAUAUUUAUAUUUUAUAAAUAGCAUUCUACCGUGA